UACAGGGGGGUGCAAACGUUGCUCGGAAUCAUUGGGCGUAAAGCGCACGUAGGCGGGUCGUUAAGUCAGGGGUGAAAUCCCGGAGCUCAACUCCGGAACUGCCUUUGAUACUGGCGACCUUGAGGCCGGAAGAGGUUAGUGGAAUUCCCAGUGUAGAGGUGAAAUUCGUAGAUAUUGGGAAGAACACCAGUGGCGAAGGCGGCUAACUGGUCCGGAUCUGACGCUGAGGUGCGAAAGCGUGGGGAGCGAACGGG
rnacentral:rRNA from 1 species